CAUGUUGUCUUUUGCUUCUCCCUCUCUCUCAUGCCCAUUUCCCAUCCACUAUAAUCUUGUUGAUUUACCUGUCCAGGGAAUUUGGAAAAUCCCCAGGCAGGCCAGCGGCCCUGAGAAGAAACUGGACGAUGCUCUGCUCAUCCAAGAGGCCAUUGAUCAGCUUAACAGUGUGUCCCGGGAAAUGCUGUAACAGUGAGAGAGGAAAGGAGAGAGAGAAGAGGAAACAUCGAUGUGAGAGAGAAACAUCAAGGGUGGCCUCCUGUACAUGACCCAACCAGGGAUGGAAUCCAAAACCUAGAGGCAAGCUGGGGGACCUCGGUCCAGGGCUGGGAGGAGCAAGCAGAGCCCCUAAACGAAAGGGAGCACACAACUCGAACACUUUUUCCAAACUGGGAACAGGCAUCAUCCUUAUUUCUCAAUGGAGGCGCUGAAAUCUGAGAUUUGCUUCAGGCUGCAGUGUGAGUCAGAACUUGGACCAGAAACACUACUUUCUACACGUUCUCUCAUCUACCAACCACGGCUUGUUCCCUCGUUGGCCCUCCUCCAGCCUGGGCCAUGAGUAGAGCCCGCAGGAUCCCAGGGCCCCCGCCAGCUGUUGACAAGGCUGCUCUCCUGGGGUGAACCGAGGCAAAGGCUUGCUUGCUCAUACCUGACAGUCUGUGUGUUACCCAGUAACUUUCCCAAGAGUGCAGGGAGAGUCCACGUUUAUAAAGCCCCAGGAACGCUGAGAUCAAAGGCAUCAAGUGGCCUUCCCAGAACACAGUCUGCAGGCCCCACGUCUCGCUUGGGCUUGAUGGAUACGUGCUCCUCCUGCGCAGGAGGUGGACUCCUUGCUUCAGAUGAAUUGAGCUCAUUAAUUAGGAUUCUGCCUGCAGCUUAUUGUGAAAGAUGCUGUUAUUACUGUAAUUAGAACCCUGAGCCAACCCCAGCCUCUCUCACCAUAAACAUUCGGGGGGAGGAGGCUAUCUCCUUGAACCCACUGUGCUCAUGGUUGCUAAAUUCAAGCCCAUUAUCUUGCACAGACAGGCAGCCCAGGCUCUCAUAAAGUAAGAAGAUUGCUGAUUCCAACAGUGCUUUCUUAGACAAUCGGUGUCUGAGAACAAUAGUGAUGAAUGCAUUGCUUAAUAGUGCUUCCCUAUUUCCAGACAUGAGCUCAAUUCUGGGCCUGAAAUGCCUCUAUACAUCAUUUCCACUCCACAUCUAAGAGAUAUCUUAAAGUAAAACCAAGCUUCUCUACCCAUUUGCCAUCACAGCGCUACUUCUUCCAGCUGGAAAAGCCACAGCACCCUCGAGGCGAUCCUUCCCCACACCGGCAGCACGUCAGCAGCCUGUAGGGAGCUUCCAGACACCCAGACGCGCAGGACUCAGCCUCAGGAAUUUCUGAUUCACUUGAUCUGGGGAUCAGGGCAUCAAGCGUGGAAAUAUAGCUCAGCAACCACAUGAAAACCAGUGCGGAGCGAGUUGGCACGCAGGACCACACCUGAGAAGAAGUUCUCCCAUGUGAAAUCAGGCCUGCAUUGUACUUACGCUGCUUUGUGACUUGCUCUUGCUAAAACUCCCUCAACCUGAGUUCAGGCAGAAAAUGCUUACUGCAUAUCUUUAAAGCAACUUCCUGAAGUCUGUGCUAAUUCUCGCAAGGAUUGAAAUGUAACCAGACGUGUUACCCUUAUCAUUCCCUUGCAUUUGCAAAAUUUUUUUCUUGUUAAUCUGUAAGAAGUAAUCAGUAACAUCCCUUCCAUUGCUAUCUGUAAAAAGUAAUUACCUAGAGCAAACCUAAGUGUAAUUAAU